UACGGAGGGUGCAAGCGUUGUCCGGAUUUAUUGGGUUUAAAGGGUGCGUAGGCGGCUAAUUAAGUCAGUGGUGAAAGCCCGCAGCUCAACUGUGGAAUUGCCAUUGAUACUGACUAGCUUGAGUUUGGUUGAGGUAGGCGGAAUGGAUGGUGUAGCGGUGAAAUGCAUAGAUAUCAUCCAGAACACCGAUAGCGAAGGCAGCUUACUGAGCCGAAACUGACGCUGAGGCACGAAAGCGUGGGUAGCGAACAGG
rnacentral:misc_RNA from 1 species